CCGCCCCACGUUCGUACGCGGCCAGAGGCGGGGCCAGAAGUCGCCUAGAGGGCGGGGCUUAGGCGUUCGGGUUGGCAGCCCGGGCUAGCGUUCACUCUGAGCUCUGCCCAGGUCGCACGUCUAAGGAGUGAGGGCGGGGUGAACGCGGGGCGACCCCCAGAGCAGCUUGGGUGGCACGGUGUUGAGCAGGGAGGAUUAGGAUGUGCCAGGGCAGCCAAUGAACUCAAGGAUAGCGGCUUGCAGAGCCUCCUAGGGUGGCUCCUCCGAUCGGAGCUACCCGCCCUUCCAAGCUAAGUUACCCCUUUGGACCACCGACCCCAGGCCGGGCCACGGUACUUAGCAGUGGGUUUCCCCGAUUAAGAAGAGGGGGUGAUUUACAAGGCUUCAAAGGAAUGAGGCGGGUGGACGCAGAUGAGCUACGUUCUGAGCAAGGGUAUAGGACCAGUGAUCGCUUUGGCAAAAACAGGGCAUACACCUAUUCCCUUACCUGGGUCAGGUGUGCGCCCGCUGGGCGGGUCCCGUCAGGGAGGCGGACCAAGGAGAACGCUUUCCUCUUCCUGGACUGGAGUGAGGAGCUCGGGUACCGAGAGGAGCGGCAGGCACCAUGAAUAACCCGAUACCUUCUAAUCUGAAAUCAGAAGCAAAGAAGGCUGCCAAAAUAUUAAGAGAAUUCACAGAAAUAACUUCUAGAAAUGGACCUGAUAAGAUCAUUCCUGCCCACGUGAUUGCAAAAGCUAAAGGUCUUGCAGUUUUGUCUGUGAUUAAAGCCGGGUUUCUGGUCACAGCCAGGGGAGGCAGUGGGAUUGUCCUGGCGCGUCUUCCGGAUGGAAAAUGGUCUGCACCUUCAGCCAUUGGGAUAGCUGGGCUUGGUGGAGGAUUUGAAAUAGGAAUAGAGGUAUCCGAUUUGGUGAUAAUUCUGAAUUAUGACAGAGCAGUAGAAGCCUUUGCAAAGGGUGGAAACCUGACCCUUGGAGGGAAUUUUACUGUCGCAGUUGGGCCCCUAGGCAGGAACCUGGAAGGCAACGUGUCCCUGAGGAGCUCCGCAGCCGUCUUCACAUACUGCAAGUCCAGGGGCCUCUUUGCUGGUAUCUCCCUGGAAGGAAGCUGUCUGAUUGAGAGGAAAGAAACCAAUCGGAAAUUUUACUGUCAGGACAUUCGAGCUUACGACAUUUUAUUUGGAGAUGUUCCGCAGCCUGCUCAAGCAGAAGAUCUUUAUGAAAUUCUUAAUUCCUUCACUGAGAAAUAUGAAACUGAAGGGCAGCGCAUCAAUUUGAAGAAAGUAGCCCGGGAGCAGAGGAAGGCCAAAGAAUUACCUCCAAAACCAUCUUCAAGGCCCCAGCCAGCCCACCCACCUGUACAGCUGAAUGCUGGCUCCCAGGCUAGGUUCCAAGUGCUAUAUUGAAAAGAAGUGGGGAUAGUGGACAAACCUGGUUCAGCCCUAAUUUUAAUGAGGUUUCUUCAAGUUUCCUACAUUUGGAUGAUAUUGGCUAUAGGUUUGUCAUGUAGAACCUUGAUUAGGUUCAGGUAAUAGAAAUGAAUAUAAGCUAUAUCCUGAGCUUUCUAGCUAUCAUGAGAAAACUGGCAAUUUGAAUCAACCAAUAGAAGUGACAGCAUUAUACUCUUUCGAAGGACAACAGCCAGGAGACUUGAAUUUUCAAGCAGGAGACAGAAUCAUAGUUAUAUCAAAGACCGACUCAAAUUUUGAUUGGUGGGAAGGAAAACUUCGAGGUCAAACUGGAAUUUUCCCAGCCAACUAUGUAACUAUGAAUUAAAGUUCAUGCUAUUUUGUUACUUGAUAAUUACACAAAAAUAUUUCUACACAGACAGGAUUCACUGUUUACUGCAAACGUCAAGCACACCCUUGCUCUGCAAAUGUUUUUAUCCAGGUGUAAAAUAUUUUCUCUGCAUAUAAAUAAAUGGUUAAGUUAACAUGCA